rnacentral:lncRNA from 1 species
CGUGUGCUUUAUUUCAUCAUUGUAGGUAUUUAUAGGCAUUACAGUCGGGGUAAAGUAGUAAAUUCGUUUGGUCAUCUAUUCCGCACGCUUGCCAUUAAACUAAUUAAGGCUAUUAUUAGAUUAUAACUUGUCAGGUCGUUGUCCCCUAAUUAUAGAGCUGGAUUCUGUCCUCAUCAUCCCGCUCUGUCUAGUAGCUCUG